GCCGGGCGGUCGGGGGAAGGCGGCGCGGGGGCACCGCCGCCGGCCCCCGUCCGUCCCCCGUCGGAACCGAGCCGUCCGCCGUCGUUGCGCCGCCGGGCUGCGAGAAGCGGCGGCUGACCGCGAGCGGCUCUUGGCUGAGCCGGGCAGCCCCGAAAGAGAGGGAGCGAUCGCGCGGGUCGAGGCGCGUUCGAGCCCGGCACGGAGUCAGCGAGAGCCUUCGGCUGCUGCCCCGCAGCUGCAGUCCCCAGGUGCCGUUUUCCAUCUGUCCGUCUGUCCCCGCGCGCAGCUCCCGGAGCUGCGUGAAGCCGACGUGGAGCAGCUUCGAGUUGGCCCCGAGGAGGGAAGCCGCGAGGGGGGAUGAUUGUCAGGAUGGGAGCUGGUUGGGAACGCGGUCAUUCCUCUGUUUACUGCUCUGUGUGUUCAACGAUUAAAUGUUUAGCGUUCGUUUUUCAGCGCUUCUGUGUGCAGUCGUAUCUGCAGCUCCAAAGACCCCCCCAUCCCGCUGCCCACCGCUGGGUGAGGACAGAGCAGCUCAAAUGGCCGUGUCGUAGGACUGCACCCACCAGCGCCUUUCCUUCCCCCGCAUCCCCUCCCCUCCUCAGCACCGCGUGGGAAAUGGCUGGGGUGGGAUUCUGGCAGAGCUAGGGUGGCUCAGCCUGCAGAAGAGGAGGCUCGGGGGAUCCCGGGCACAGCCAUCAGUCCCCGCAGGGAGGUGCGGAGAGGACGGAGCCAGGCUGCGCCUGGCGGUGCCCAGCAGCAGUACCGGAGGCUCACGCUGCAGCACAGCAGGUUUCCCUGCGUGCCAGCGCUGAGCCCCCAGCUCUGGUCAGCGCCGUUGGACAUUUUUGCCAAUGAUCACGAUGCAGGAGAUGAGCGCAUCCUCGCGAAAUGCACCGGGCAUCCUAAGGCACGAGGUGCUGCUGGCACUCCUGAGACGGUGGCAGUUCGGCCCAGUACCUCAAGGUGGCAGCAGGACCCCCAACAACAACGGAAACGUCGGCUCCCCAGAGCCCCGUCAGUUGGGUUAAAGCCUCCUGAGAUCAUACGAAUGGUAAAUCCCGCUUGACAAACGUGAUGUCAUUCUCUGACAAGGUGACCCGCUUAGUGGAUGAAGGACCUGAACAGGAUGUACCAGAUGAGCCAGCUACUGAACAUAGCACUGUUUGGUGAAGUCCACCCAGACAGACUACCCACCCCUGGGAUACCAGCGGGGGUCCGGCACGGGAAGCAGCUCUGCUCUGGAGGCACUUCUGCAAGCAAAGAACCAUGAGAGCUUUCCAUCUUACACCACAGUCUGUGUCACUGCGUGACGGCACAGUGCCAUCUGAGGAACAGAUGGUACCAGGGAUGGUGCAGGGACAGGGCACGCACGUGCAGCUCUGUGCUCUCACUCCUGCAGGUGUGGCUGGCUGACAUUAGGGCUGUGAGGUGGCAGCUCGCAAAGGAAGUAAAAAGCCAUGACAUACCCAUGCCAUCUGCUAGAGCUUCCGUCCGGGGAGCCGGCUGGGAUUCUGCAUCCCAUUCAUCUCCACUCGCAUCUGUAAACAAACGGGACAGAGCAGCUCGUGUCAGACACGUCCAUAUCCAUCUCCAGAUGGGAACAAUGAGGGAUCGCUCCACGGCACCCUUCUCUCCCUUCCACACAGCAGCGUCUCACCCAUAGAUGCCGGGUGCCUGCAGUGGCACCGGGCUGAUACACAGCAAUCCGUGUGUGGAACUGUCUGGAGACGGGAGGGGAAGAGAACUGAAAGGAG